GCUCCAGGCUCUGAGCCAUCAGCCCAGAGCCCGACGCGGGGCUCGAACUCGCGGACCGCGAGAUCGUGACCUGAGCUGAAGUCGGACGCUUAACCGACUGAGCCACCCAGGCGCCCCAGGGUUCUUACUUCUUGAAACUCUGCUCCCCUCUGUGGCUCCAUGGCUGCCGGCUCGCCGGGUGUCGCCCCGAGGUGCCCCGUGGCCCUGUCACCGCAGGGAACCUCGGUGCAGCAUCGCACCCGCGGCUGACCCCGUGCAGUGGGAAGUCAUUUCAGUGUCUCCUUGGGUGUCGGCGGGGGGGGGGGGGUGUGUGUGGCACGUCUGCAGCCUCUCCGGGUCUCCCCUGCUGCUCUGCACGCGCCUCGGUGUCCCAUCAGCCUUUUGCAACUUUUACACCUGUUUUUCUGCACUAGUGAGGUUGUCUCCACCAUUUCUGGGCCUGAUUUCCUGUUGAGUGACCUUUCUCACGGUUUGGGGUCACGUGCUCCUGCCUCUUUGUAUGGCCCGUGAGUUGUGAGUGUGAAUUUUGUGUCCUCCCUCCCCGGGUUUGGCUGUUCUCCUUGCGGGAGGACUGGACUCUGUCCAGGGGCAGUAAACCUGCGGGGGAGGGGGGGGUCACGGUGCUGUUUGAGGGCCCUUGUGCUGCGGCUGCGGCCUCCGCGGUCCCUGCCCGACGCUGCAGGUGCUGGGCGGCGUCCUCUUCUCUCUCCUCGUGUGACUUCCACCUACGCACACUGACCUUGUGUGGGGGAGGGGGGAGUGGCCUCCAGCUUCUUGUGCUCCCCGGGUCCUCGGCCGAGGGGCGUCUUUCCUUGUGUGAGCACAGACGUGUGCUUGGCCAGGGACCAGGGCACCGGGGCCGGCUUCUGGAGCCCCUCCUGCCUCAUCGCCUCACCCCUGUCUCCUGCCCCAGGGCAGCCGCGGCACCUGCCAGGCCCCGGGGUCCCCCACCCCCGGACCCUGUGACGCCAGCUCCGCUCCGACCCGCCCUCCUUGCUCGCAGUCUGGACUUGCUUGUAGGAGACACCAGCCCCCGGUUUCUGCCCAGCGUUGGUCCCCUGUGCUGCGUGCAGAGGCCCUGCUCGUGCUGUGAGGUCACCGUCUUGCUGCUUCCCUGUCCGACGGCCGCCUCGGUGUGGGAUCCGGGCACACGUGCUCCAGGUGAACGCGGGCCCUGAGCGCCCCAGCCACGUGUAUGCGGACGCAGGCCUCUGUUGGGGUUCCGGCCCCUCCUUGGCGAAAAGUAAAGAAGAGGUUAAGCUGC